GUGCUGGCUUCAGCAGCACAUAUACUGAAAUUACAACAAUACAGAGAAGAUUAGCAUGGCUCCUGUGCAAGGAUGACAUGCAAAUUCAUGAAGCCUUCCAUAUUUAA
ensembl:snRNA U6 U6 spliceosomal RNA